UGCAGUCGAACGGUGAUAGCAAUAUCAUAGUGGCGCACGGGUGCGUAACACGUAUGCAACCUACCUUAUACUGAGGGAUAGCCUUUCGAAAGGGAGAUUAAUACCUCAUAACACAUAGAACUGGCAUCAGUUUAUUGUUAAAGAUUUAUUGGUAUAAGAUGGGCAUGCGUCCAAUUAGUUAGUUGGCGAGGUAACGGCUCACCAAGACGAUGAUUGGUAGGGGAACUGAGAGGUUAAUCCCCCACACUGGCACUGAGAUACGGGCCAGACUCCUACGGGAGGCAGCAGUAGGGAAUAUUGGGCAAUGGAGGCAACUCUGACCCAGCCAUGCCGCGUGCAGGAAGAAGGCGUUAUGCGUUGUAAACUGCUUUUAUAUAGGAAGAAAUAGACCUUGCGAGGUAAGUUGACGGUACUAUAUGAAUAAGCACCGGCUAACUCCGUGCCAGCAGCCGCGGUAAUACGGAGGGCGCAAGCGUUGUCCGGAUUUAUUGGGUUUAAAGGGUGCGUAGGCGGUUUAUUAAGUCAGUGGUGAAAGACGGUCGCUCAACGAUUGCAGUGCCAUUGAUACUGGUAGACUUGAGUGGGAUUGAGGUAGCUGGAAUGGAUAGUGUGGCGGUGAAAUGCAUAGAUAUUAUCCAGAACACCAAUUGCGUAGGCAAGUUACUAAGUCUCAACUGACGCUGAGGCACGAAAGUGUGGGUAUCAAACAGGAUUAGAUACCCUGGUAGUCCACACUGUAAACGAUGAUAACUAACUGUUGGC
rnacentral:rRNA from 1 species